GCCUAACACAUGCAAGUCGAACGGCAGCACAGGGGAGCUUGCUCCCUGGGUGGCGAGUGGCGGACGGGUGAGUAAUACAUCGGGACCUACCCAGACGUGGGGGAUAACCUCGGGAAACCGGGACUAAUACCGCAUACGUCCUACGGGAGAAAGCAGGGGAUCUUCGGACCUUGCGCGGUUGGACGGACCGAUGUUCGAUUAGCUAGUUGGUGGGGUAAAGGCCUACCAAGGCGACGAUCGAUAGCUGGUCUGAGAGGAUGAUCAGCCACAUUGGGACUGAGACACGGCCCAAACUCCUACGGGAGGCAGCAGUGGGGAAUAUUGGACAAUGGGCGCAAGCCUGAUCCAGCAAUGCCGCGUGUGUGAAGAAGGCCUUCGGGUUGUAAAGCACUUUUAUCAGGAGCGAAAUCGGCAAGGUUAAUACCCGUGUCGUCUGACGGUACCUGAGGAAUAAGCACCGGCUAAUUUCGUGCCAGCAGCCGCGGUAAUACGAAGGGUGCAAGCGUUAAUCGGAAUUACUGGGCGUAAAGGGUGCGUAGGCGGUUCGUUAAGUCUGUCGUGAAAUCCCCGGGCUCAACCUGGGAAUGGCGAUGGAUACUGGCGGGCUAGAGUGUGUCAGAGGAUGGUGGAAUUCCCGGUGUAGCGGUGAAAUGCGUAGAGAUCGGGAGGAACAUCAGUGGCGAAGGGGCCAUCUGGGACAAACUGACGCUGAAGCACGAAAGCGUGGGGAGCAAACAGGAUUAGAUACCCUGGUAUCCACGCCCUAAACGAUGCGACUGGGGUGUUUGACCCGAAUCUCGGAGAUCAGUGUCGAAGCUAACGCGUUAAGUUCGCCGCCUGGGGAGUACGGUCGCAAGACUGAAACUCAAAGGAAUUGACGGGGGCCCGCACGAGCGGUGGAGUAUGUGGUUUAAUUCGAUGCAACGCGAAGAACCUUACCUGGCCUUGACAUGUCGCGAAUCCUGCAGAGAUGCGGGAGUGCCUUCGGGAAUGCGAACACAGGUGCUGCAUGGCUGUCGUCAGCUCGUGUCGUGAGAUGUUGGGUUAAGUCCCGCAACGAGCGCAACCCUUGUCCUUAGUUGCCAG
rnacentral:rRNA from 1 species